rnacentral:rRNA from 1 species
UAGGGAAUCUUCGGCAAUGGACGAAAGUCUGACCGAGCAACGCCGCGUGAGUGAAGAAGGUUUUCGGAUCGUAAAACUCUGUUGUUAGAGAAGAACAAGGACGUUAGUAACUGAACGUCCCCUGACGGUAUCUAACCAGAAAGCAACGGCUAACUACGUGCCAGCAGCCGCGGUAAUACGUAGGUGGCAAGCGUUGUCCGGAUUUAUUGGGCGUAAAGCGAGCGCAGGCGGUUUCUUAAGUCUGAUGUGAAAGCCCCCGGCUCAACCGGGGAGGGUCAUUUGAAACUGGGAGGCUUGAGUGCAGAAGAGGAGAGUGGAAUUCCAUGUGUAGCGGUGAAAUGCGUAGAUAUAUGGAGGAACACCAGUGGCGAAGGCGGCUCUCUGGUCUGUAACUGACGCUGAGGCUCGAAAGCGUGGGGAGCAAACAGG